CCUACGGGAGGCAGCAGUGGGGAAUAUUGGGCAAUGGGCGCAAGCCUGAUCCAGCAACGCCGCGUGAAGGAAGAAGGUUUUCGGGUUGUAAACUUCUAUUCAUAGGGACGAAGCAAGUGACGGUACCUGAGUAAUAAGCCCCGGCUAACUACGUGCCAGCAGCCGCGGUAAUACGUAGGUGGCAAGCGUUAUCCGGAUUUACUGGGUGUAAAGGGCGUGUAGGCGGGAAAGUAAGCCAUAUGUGAAAGCCAUAGGCUUAACCUGAGGCCUGCAUUGGGAACUAUUUUGCUUGAGUACUGGAGAGGAAGACGGAAUUCCUAGUGUAGCGGUGAAAUGCGUAGAUAUUAGGAAGAACACCAGUGGCGAAGGCGGUCUGCUGGACAGCAACUGACGCUGAGGCGCGAAAGCGUGGGGAGCGAACAGGAUUAGAUACCCUGGUAGUC
rnacentral:rRNA from 1 species